GGCCCAGCAGGGCCAAGCCAGAACACCAGCGUUGCUUCCAGGCGUUUCCCCAGUGGAAAACACUAAGUGCCCAAAUGAAGUCGAACAGCUGGGUCAUCACAGGUCCCCCAGUCCAGCCUGUAGGGAAGCAGCCAGCAGGCACGUGGAAGCCUCUGGAGGAGCCUCCUCUAUUCAGUACUCCAGGAGCUAGACAGUCCACAGUGGCCUGCAUCCAGAAGUCUCCCGGCUUUUGUGCUUGUGGCCACUGCCUCUGCUGCCUACCAGUGCCAAGGAUGGAGAGGCCUCGAGUCAAGGAUGCUGAAGGCAGCCACCAUCUGUAUGGUGCCUGGGUAGUCCACGGGGGUCAGCCAUGGGGCGGGAUGGCUGAAAACCCAGGAGGACUCCAUGCAGAUGAAGAAGGUUCUCUUCACGCCCCUGGGCCAGCAGGUGUGAGCACCAAGAAAGACUGAAGGAAAGAAGCCCACCGUAUGAAAAUGAGGGAGUGUGGGGGCUUUCAAAGAAAACUUUAUUUAAAACAAGC
rnacentral:lncRNA from 1 species